rnacentral:rRNA from 1 species
UGGGUUUGACAUGUUUCCGACCGGCCUAGAGAUAGGCAUUCCCUUCGGGGCGGAUUCAC